GGGCGGGUUCGUUUCCCGAAUGGGGAG
rnacentral:misc_RNA from 1 species